CCUACGUGAGGCUGCAGUGGGGAAUAUUGCACAAUGGGGGAAACCCUGAUGCAGCGACGCCGCGUGAGUGAAGAAGUAUCUCGGUACGUAAAGCUCUAUCAGCAGGGAAGAAAAUGACGGUACCUGACUCAGAAGCCCCGGCUAACUACGUGCCAGCAGCCGCGGUAAUACGUAGGGGGCAAGCGUUAUCCGGAUUUACUGGGUGUAAAGGGAGCGUAGACGGCAGCACAAGUCUGGAGUGAAAUCCCGGGGCUUAACCCCGGAACUGCUUUGGAAACUGUGCGGCGUGAGUGCAGGAGGGGUAAGCGGAAGUCCUAGUGUAGCGGUGAAAUGCGUAGAUAUUAGGAGGAACACCGGUGGCGAAGGCGGCUUACUGGACUGUAACUGACGUUGAGGCUCGAAAGCGUGUGGAGCAAACAGGAUUAGAUACCCUUGUAGUC
rnacentral:rRNA from 1 species